rnacentral:rRNA from 1 species
UAAUGCCUAGGAAAUUGCCCUGAUGUGGGGGAUAACCAUUGGAAACGAUGGCUAAUACCGCAUGAUGCCUACGGGCCAAAGAGGGGGACCUUCGGGCCUCUCGCGUCAGGAUAUGCCUAGGUGGGAUUAGCUAGUUGGUGAGGUAAGGGCUCACCAAGGCGACGAUCCCUAGCUGGUCUGAGAGGAUGAUCAGCCACACUGGAACUGAGACACGGUCCAGACUCCUACGGGAGGCAGCAGUGGGGAAUAUUGCACAAUGGGCGCAAGCCUGAUGCAGCCAUGCCGCGUGUGUGAAGAAGGCCUUCGGGUUGUAAAGCACUUUCAGUCGUGAGGAAGGUAGUGUAGUUAAUAGCUGCAUUAUUUGACGUUAGCGACAGAAGAAGCACCGGCUAACUCCGUGCCAGCAGCCGCGGUAAUACGGAGGGUGCGAGCGUUAAUCGGAAUUACUGGGCGUAAAGCGCAUGCAGGUGGUUUGUUAAGUCAGAUGUGAAAGCCCGGGGCUCAACCUCGGAAUUGCAUUUGAAACUGGCAGACUAGAGUACUGUAGAGG